rnacentral:rRNA from 1 species
UGGGGAAUUUUGGACAAUGGGCGAAAGCCUGAUCCAGCAAUGCCGCGUGUGUGAAGAAGGCCUUCGGGUUGUAAAGCACUUUUGUCCGGAAAGAAAUCCUUGGUUCUAAUAUAGCCGGGGGGAUGACGGUACCGGAAGAAUAAGCACCGGCUAACUACGUGCCAGCAGCCGCGGUAAUACGUAAGGUGCGAGCGUUAAUCGGAAUUACUGGGCGUAAAGCGUGCGCAGGCGGUUUGCUAAGACCGAUGUGAAAUCCCCGGGCUCAACCUGGGAACUGCAUUGGUGACUGGCAGGCUAGAGUAUGGCAGAGGGGGGUAGAAUUCCACGUGUAGCAGUGAAAUGCGUAGAGAUGUGGAGGAAUACCGAUGGCGAAGGCAGCCCCCUGGGCCAAUACUGACGCUCAUGCACGAAAGCGUGGGGAGCAAACAGGAUUAGAUACCCUGGUAGUCCACGCCCUAAACGAUGUCAACUAGUUGUUGGGGAUUCAUUUCCUUAGUAACGUAGCUAACGCGUGAAGUUGACCGCCUGGGGAGUACGGUCGCAAGAUU